UACGUAGGGUGCGAGCGUUGUCCGGAAUUAUUGGGCGUAAAGAGCUCGUAGGCGGUUUGUCGCGUCUGCUGUGAAAACGCGAGGCUCAACCUCGCGCCUGCAGUGGGUACGGGCAGACUAGAGUGCGGUAGGGGAGAUUGGAAUUCCUGGUGCAGCGGUGGAAUGCGCAGAUAUCAGGAGGAACACCGAUGGCGAAGGCAGAUCUCUGGGCCGUAACUGACGCUGAGGAGCGAAAGCGUGGGGAGCGAACAGG
rnacentral:rRNA from 1 species